rnacentral:tRNA from 1 species
CCUCUUAGCCAAGUUGGUAAGGCUGAGGUCUUUGAAGCCGCGAUCCCAGGUUCGAGUCCUGGAGGGGGGCCA